rnacentral:rRNA from 1 species
GACGGAGGAUGCAAGCGUUAUCCGGAAUGAUUGGGCGUAAAGCGUCCGCAGGUGGCAGUUCAAGUCUGCUGUCAAAGACCGGGGCUUAACUUCGGAAAGGCAGUGGAAACUGAACAGCUAGAGUAUGGUAGGGGCAGAGGGAAUUCCUGGUGUAGCGGUGAAAUGCGUAGAGAUCAGGAAGAACAUCGGUGGCGAAGGCGCUCUGCUGGACCAUAACUGACACUCAGGGACGAAAAGCUAGGGGAGCGAAAGGG